rnacentral:misc_RNA from 1 species
GUUCUAAUGCUUCUACCUGUUACUGCUGUUGGGCAUGCAGCUAUGUUGGCAGCUAUUCAGCGAUAUGUGCCAGCUUUGAUCCCUUCCACUUAUGGACCAGAAAGGUUGGAGCUCUUGCGGCAGCUUGAGAAAGUGAAGGAAAUGGAAGUCAGUGAAGCUGAUGCCAACGAGAAUGAAAAGGAAUUAUCCUAGUUAGAUGCAGCCCAGAUUAUAUACUGCCCUGACAAUAUAACAGAACUUGCAAGGCAAGCGACCAAGAAAUUGUUCAUUCUUCUUUUUUGGCCAGGUAAUAUCACUUGGUUUUGAAUCCCAUUGACCGUAAAUGAGCAUAUAGAAUUUCAUUCCAUACAUCUGGUACUCCGGGCAAGCACCAGUGGCUGCAGUCUUGUGGAGCAGGAACUGGAGGGCCCGGCUCNGCUCGCGGUGGACUGAAGGGUGUCCAUCAAACCUGAACUGUGUCAGAUAUGUGAUGUUUAAAUACUGAACUUUGCUAUUUCUGUAUUCCAAUUCCAUUUGUUUGAUCAUAUCGGAAAUCAAUUGAUUAUUCACAGGC